rnacentral:lncRNA from 1 species
AACCUUAAUCAUCAUUCCAUUUCCAAUCAUAUAUUCUUUUGCCUUGCUACAUCAUCAAGGUAGUUAAGCAAGCUAAUGAGAUGCCUAGUUAUAAAGUUCUGUAUUGCGUCAAAAGUUAAAAUCACUUUAAAAUCAAAUGAUUACACACGCACGAUGCUUAUUAAUAUGAAUUAGGGUUUGAUUUCCCUAAAAGCGAAUUGAAUCCUAACUCUAACCUUCAAUCAGGAAAUUUCUAACCAAUUCAAAUUAAAGGACACUUGUAAACCCUAAUUGUUACCUAAAAUAAUUGUUUUACCUUACAAGUCGAGUUUGUGUCGGCUUGCAAUGGAUGCUCUUGAACUUGAUAGCUUUCAGGCUUCAUCUAUAACGACAAGGGAGAUCAAGAGAUCGAAGCAUCGAGCUAGGCAAGGAUGGAGACGAAUCGAAAGGGGAGACGAAGCUAUACAAGGAAGGAUAUGGGGAGAUACUCACUAAGAGUCAAGAGAAGACGUCGGAGAUGGCGAGGUGAGAAGACGCCGGAGAUCUGGGGAGAUAGAGAGGGAGAGCUGAGAGAAGAUAGCAGAGAUCUGGGGGGAGAUGGUGAGCGAGAGAAGAUAUGUGAGAUCUCUAGAUUUUUAGAGUUUGGAGUGCAAAUGGAUUUUGUAACAAUGAAAUACAUCUUACAUUAACAAAAAGAAGCAAG